rnacentral:rRNA from 1 species
UGGGCGCAAGCCUGAUCCAGCAAUGCCGCGUGUGUGAAGAAGGCCUGCGGGUUGUAAAGCACUUUCAGUGGGAAAGAAAAGCGCGGGGUCAAUACCCCCGCGUCUUGACGUUACUCACAAAAGAAGCACCGGCUAACUCCGUGCCAGCAGCCGCGGUAAUACGGAGGGUGCAAGCGUUAAUCGGAAUUACUGGGCGUAAAGCGCGCGUUGGCGGCACGGUCAGUCCGCUGUGAAAGCCCCGGGCUCAACCUGGGAACUGCAGCGGAUACUGCCGCGCUAGAGUGUGAAAGAGGGGGGUGGAAUUCCAGGUGUAGCGGUGAAAUGCGUAGAGAUCUGAAGGAACACC